UACGUAGGUGGCAAGCGUUGUCCGGAUUUAUUGGGCGUAAAGGGUGUGUAGGCGGUUCUUUAAGUUUGGUGUGAAAUCUCCCGGCUCAACUGGGAGGGUGCGCCGAAUACUGAGGGACUAGAGUACGGGAGAGGAAAGUGGAAUUCCUGGUGUAGCGGUGAAAUGCGUAGAUAUCAGGAGGAACACCGGUGGUGUAGACGGCUUUCUGGACCGACACUGACGCUGAGACACGAAAGCGUGGGUAGCAAACAGG
rnacentral:rRNA from 1 species